rnacentral:tRNA from 1 species
GGGGCUAUAGCUCAAUUGGUAGAGCACCUGCUUUGCACGCAGGAGGUCAGCGGUUCGAUCCCGCUUAGCUCCA